AUUGAACGCUGGCGGCAGGCCUAACACAUGCAAGUCGAGCGGAUGAAGGGAGCCUGCUCCUGGAUUCAGCGGCGGACGGGUGAGUAAUGCCUAGGAAUCUGCCUGGUAGUGGGGGAUAACGUCCGGAAACGGGCGCUAAUACCGCAUACGUCCUGAGGGAGAAAGUGGGGGAUCUUCGGACCUCACGCUAUCAGAUGAGCCUAGGUCGGAUUAGCUAGUUGGUGGGGUAAAGGCCUACCAAGGCGACGAUCCGUAACUGGUCUGAGAGGAUGAUCAGUCACACUGGAACUGAGACACGGUCCAGACUCCUACGGGAGGCAGCAGUGGGGAAUAUUGGACAAUGGGCGAAAGCCUGAUCCAGCCAUGCCGCGUGUGGGAAGAAGGUCUUCGGAUUGUAAAGCACUUUAAGUUGGGAGGAAGGGCAGUAAGUUAAUACCUUGCUGUUUUGACGUUACCAACAGAAUAAGCACCGGCUAACUUCGUG
rnacentral:rRNA from 1 species